AUGCGGGGCGGAGGCCGUGCUGUAGGGGUACUCACUCAAGAUUAUGAGGAUACCCAGGAUGAAAAGGAUCCCGGCGAUGAUGAGGCCUCCGAUCCGCAGGGAUUGGUAGUCUAUGGGCAGCAGGGAGGAGGGUUGUCUGUGAUUCCAUAAUUCUCGGGAAAGCAGCCACCACCCCACCCUUUACCUUUGCCUGAUCUGGACGCCCUCUCCCCUCCCCCGAACACCAGCCUGUGACUGGACCCCAGAGAUGAGGAAACCAAGGCUGAGCAAAGUGGAGGUAAUUCUCCCAGGAUCUCCGUUGUGGCUAAGGACGGAAACUGCCCCCUUCCUGUCGCAGAGGCCAGAAGCUGGCACAGAUCCCUGGCUCUGCAGGGCACAGAGUCAGGGGCAGGUGAGUAUGCUCACACUCAGGCACCGGUGAAGCCUUGACACAUACAUUUAUGUGUGCACAUGGCCUCAGAGGACCCAGGGGGCUUCGAAAAUCUCCUUCAUCCCUGUCUGUCUGAGCUCUCAGCC